UUUUUUUUUGGGGGGGGGGGGGGGUUGGGAUGGGUUUGGUCUUAAUUUUAUGUUGGAAAUGUUGCUGUCAAUCUGUGUACUCUUGUUACAUAGACAUACAUAAGAUGUUAUGUCAUUCUACCCACAAACAAGUAAACAACUACAGUUUUGUCUUC